rnacentral:piRNA from 1 species
UCCUUAUGGUUAGGAUGGGUUAGGUGAC